ACCUGCCUGGCUCAUUCAGUAGAGCAUGUGACUCCUGAUCUCAGGGUUGUGAGUUCAAGCCCCAUGUUGGGCU
rnacentral:tRNA from 1 species